GACGAACCGAGCGAGCGUUGUUCGGAAUCACUGGGCUUAAAGGGCGCGUAGGCGGGCUGCCAAGUCCGUGGUGAAAUCCCCCGGCUCAACCGGGGAAGGGCCUCGGAUACUGGCGGCCUCGAGGGGGGUAGGGGCGUGCGGAACUGUGGGUGGAGCGGUGAAAUGCGUUGAUAUCCAUAGGAACUCCGGUGGCGAAAGCGGUGUGCUGGAUCCUUUCUGACGCUGAGGCACGAAAGCGUGGGGAGCAAACAGG
rnacentral:rRNA from 1 species